rnacentral:tRNA from 1 species
GAUGAUGGCGCAAUGGUAGCGCAGUGGACUCCAGGUAUUUGAAAUCCAAAGGUUGUCGGUUCGAAUCCGGUUCAU